rnacentral:rRNA from 1 species
AUGAAGAACAUGAUGCAAACCCGCAGACUUGUUUUGCUUUUGCUGGUGCUUGGAUGCUUUACUGCUCAUGCAAAUUGCCAAGCUAAGAAGGAUACGAUGGAUGAGGAAAAGAUUGUUAUCCCACCCUGCCGUUUCUGCUUGAAGGACAAACAACUAAUACCACCCACCCAUCUCCCUUGGUGUUGUAUCCUUGAAGGCGGUCUUUGCUACAAAACUAAGGUUGAAUGUCAGAUAAACUGUGGAUGCUAG